AAUGAACGCUGGCGGCAUGCCUAACCCAUGCAAGUCGAACGAGUGGCGGACGGGUGAGUAAUGUCUGGGAAACUGCCUGAUGGAGGGGGAGAACUACUGGAAACGGUAGCUAAUACAGCAUACUAUCAGAUUUGCCCAGAUGGGAUUAGCUAGUAGGUGGGGUAAUGGCUCACCUAGGCGAAGAUCCCUAGCUGGUCUGAGAGUACGACCAGCCACACUGGAACGGAGACACGGCCCAUACGCCUACGGGAGGCAGCAGUGGGGAAUAUUGCACAAUGGGCGCAAGCCUGAUGCAGCCAUGCCGCGUGGAUGAAGAAGGCCUUCGGGUUGUAAAGUACUUUCAGCGGGGAGGCGUUACCCGCAGAAGAAGCACCGGCUAACUCCGUGCCAGCAGCCGCGGUAAUAC
rnacentral:rRNA from 1 species